AAUAAAAUUAUUUAUGGUUUAAAAAUUUAUUAUAAAUUUAUUUUACAUAUAAAUUUUAGUGUUAAUUUUUGAUUUAUUUAAAUAAUAAUUAAUAUUAUUUGUAGUAAUUAAAAUUAAAAAUUUAAGUAAUUAAGAUUUAGUAAUAUUUAAAUUAAUAACAAAUUUUGUGCCAGCAGUUGCGGUUAUACAAAAAUUAAAUUAAAUUUUUUUAGGAAUUAAUUAAUAAUAGAUUAUAUAAUAAAAUUAAAAUUUAAAUUAUUAAGUGAAAUUUUAAUUUAUGAAAAUUUUAUAUUGAAUUAUGAAUUAAAAAAUUUUAUUAAAAACUAGGAUUAGAUACCCUAUUAUUAAAAAUUUAAAUUAAUAAUACUAAAAUAGUAUAUAAUUAUUUAUAAAAACUUAAAUAAUUUGGCGGUAUUUUAGUUUAUUUAGAGGAAUCUGUUUAUUAAUUGAUAUUCCACGAAUAAAUUUACUUAAUUUAUUUAAUUUUGUAUAUCGUUGUUAAAAAAAUAUUUUAAAAUAAUAAUAAUAUUUUAAUUUUUAUAUUAAAAGUUAAAUCAGAUCAAGAUGCAGAUUAUAAUUAAGAAUAUAAUGGAUUACAAUAAAUUUAUUUAAUUGGAUGUUAUUUUUAAAAAUUAAUUGAAAUUGGAUUUAAAUGUAAUUUUAUUUAAUUUAUUAAAAUGAUUUUAAUUUAAAAUAUGUACAUAUUGCCCGUCGCUUUCAUUAAUAAAUUGAAAUAAGUCGUAACAAAGUAGAGGUACUGGAAAGUGUUUCUAGAAAGAG
rnacentral:ncRNA from 1 species